rnacentral:misc_RNA from 1 species
AAAAAAAGAGGAUGGAAUUUCAUUUCACAGAUUGCCGACAGAUGUUGUUUUACGCGAGGAAUGGGUUUCUAUUAUUCGCCAAAGCAGGCAAGACAAUAAUUGGCAGGCAUCAAAAUUUUGCGUUGUGUGUACAUUACAUUUUAAAGAGGAUGGCUUAUGCUUUACCGAAAAAUUUCGUAGGUUGAUAAAAAAAAUUCCAAUGUAAUUAUUUGUAAUACUAUCUAAUCUUUUGGUCUAGUCUUUAAGUUGUCUGUAUAUCGAUGUAUGUGUGUGUGUGAAUAAAUGAUGAUGAUUAUUA